AAAUAUUGCCAGGGGAGCCUGUUUGAAGCAGGCUGAGAUACCGUUUGGUGACCCUCUGAACCUGAUCGGGCUAAUACCCGCGAAGGGAGGCUUGAAAAAACACAA
rnacentral:ncRNA from 2 species